rnacentral:rRNA from 1 species
GACGAACCACACGAACGUUAUUCGGAAUUACUGGGCUUAAAGGGUGCGUAGGCGGCGUGGUAAGUUGGGUGUGAAAUCCCUCGGCUCAACCGAGGAACUGCGCCCAAAACUACCAUGCUUGAGGAAGAUAGAGGUAAGCGGAACUUACGGUGGAGCGGUGAAAUGCGUUGAUAUCGUAAGGAACACCUGUGGCGAAAGCGGCUUACUGGGUCUUUUCUGACGCUGAUACACGAAAGCCAGGGGAGCAAACGGG